GUUUAUUCUCAAGUUAGUUCUGCUUAGGAUGAUCUCCUUUGUAACUGUGAAAGAAAAUUGCCAAGUGCCUGAAUAAUUCACAAAUACAGUGUAGGUCUUGCAUAAGCUGCAGAACAAUGGCCAGCAUGUUGCACUGUGAGGGCUCCAGAUCUGUGAAACAACUGUGAAUAAACAGGCUCUACCAGGGCUGCCUAGAUUAGAUGCCCACCAGAAUCCCUUCAGGUUACUUAUUACAUUUACCGAAGCCAGGUCUCCGACCUCCCAGACCUUCUGAGUCAGCAUCUUAGCGGGGCGGGGGGUGGUUCUGAGAGUCUAUGUUUUAUCAUCUGUCCCUACCAACCCCCACGUGGUGGUUCCGGUGCACAUUCAAGCAGGACAAGGUUUGCUUGAUCCCUGAAAGGUCUAGAAGCUCCCCAAGGACUUGUGAGCUUGCCAUGGGCGUGAGCCAUCAACAACCCUAAGUUUGUAAAUAAUAUUUGUAAAUAUUUAGUUUUAUGUUUUAAUUUUUUAUGACUUGUAGACUUUCCCAUGGGGAAAUGUUUAAUUUCUUUUUCUGCUUUGUAUUGCAGGGUCUUAUUCACUUCAUUAAUAUUUAAUCGAAGAAUCAUACUGAGCUAUUUCCAGACUCUGAGUGGAGGGAACAUGGUACUGCCUUCCCAGUGGAGUUCUGAUUAAUGCACCAUCUCUGUGGUCCCUGGGGAUCACCAACUUCCUCAUCCCCCAACUAUACAUAUUUAUUCUGUGGAGAGGGAGGCAGAAAGUUGGAGAAAGGAACUGAAGAUGAUCAUGUCCUCUCUAGUUUUCUGGAGUGUAAAAAUCAGACACUGUGUGAUUCUUCAGAUGAAAAAGAAAACUGCUCUUACGCUAACAAGGAGGUUGGAAUAUGUGUCUUGCGCCUUAGAAAGCAUGGAAAGCAAAUAGUCAUGAAGAAAUAGAAAAUUAGGAAGACAAAUCAAUCAACUCCCUUGUCUCAUUAAAAAAUAAAUUCCAACAGAUCAAAGAAUAUACAUUAUGAAAACAAAAGAAGUCUGGUUCUGUCUGAGUUGGGGUGAAAAGCUUAAAGGACCUGAAGAGGCAUUUAUACUGUGUGUAUGAGAUACAGAAAGGGUACGUGGGGACAGGUCAUUAAAUUUUACUGUAGAUUGUGAAGUCUUCCCUACCUGCUUUGCAGAUUUCGGUCAAGUCUUAAGUUGCUUUAAAAAAAAAUUAUUUAUUUAUAUUUGGCUGCAUUGGGUCUUUGUUGCUUUGUGCGGGCUUAUUCUUGCAGUGGCUUCUCUUGUUGCCGAGCAGUCGCUAAGCCCACAGGCUUCCUGUAGGUGCAGCGAGUGGGCUCAGUGGUUGUGGCUCCCUAGCUCUAGAGUGUAGGCUCAGUAGUUGUAGUGCUUGGGCUUAGUUGGUCGGUGGCAAGUGGAAUCUUCCCAGACCAGGGAUGGAAGCUGUGUCCCCUGCACUGGCAAGCCAAUUCUUAUCCACUGUGCCACCAUGGAAGUCCUUAACUUGCUUAAUGAUUAUUUUUGGCUGAAACUCUUUAACUGUAAUUAACAUGUUAAUGUUUAUAUCAUAACCUGUGAUUCCUUUCCCUGGCUUUUUAUGCCAAUUACCCAAACACCACCAGGGCCUGGUAAAGUAGGAAAGUGAUUCUUUGAACCCUGUUCCUUCAGGCCUAUGGUGCCUAUGUUGCCCAUUGUAUCUGUAGCAAAUAUAAUUCCUGCUUGGCGUGUUAGACAGAGCUGUCCUCCCCAAGUCCCUUAUCCACCCAAGUUCUCUGAUUCCAGUACACCAGCUUCUCUCUGAACUGGCUGUCUUAGCCUUUAAGAAAAAAAUGUGACUGAACACAUCCAAUUUGGGUAAAAAAGACCAACUGCAUCUUAAAUAGAAAGCUUGGCACUUGUAGGUGAAUUUUAAGACUGUAUAACUACAGUGAAGAAUUUCAGGCAAACACGAGUCUAUCAGUCACAGUUCUGGCUGGAAACAAACUCACCAUU
ensembl:lncRNA